rnacentral:rRNA from 1 species
UACGGAGGGAGCUAGCGUUGUUCGGAAUUACUGGGCGUAAAGCGCGCGUAGGCGGCUUUGUAAGUUAGAGGUGAAAGCCCGGGGCUCAACCCCGGAAUUGCCUUUAAGACUGCAUCGCUUGAAUCCGGGAGAGGUGAGUGGAAUUCCGAGUGUAGAGGUGAAAUUCGUAGAUAUUCGGAAGAACACCAGUGGCGAAGGCGGCUCACUGGACCGGCAUUGACGCUGAGGUGCGAAGCGUGGGGAGCAA